GAUCUGCCCAAUACUGCUGCCGUUUCUUGCCCAGGCGCUGGGAGUGCAGUACCCAUACCCUAUCUGCACAACAGACCCACAAGCCACCGUGGGACCAAAUGAUCCAAGGCUUCCCAAAGUGAUGCCCCGUGAAUACCAAGUACAUAUUGAAGCAGCCAUUAUUGACAAGUUCCAGACAGUAGACGCAGAUGAAUACGUCUCCACUUCGGAAGGUGUUUCUUCAAUGACGAUCAGGCAGGGGGACAACGUAGAGACCAUUAUCCUAAACGCCAACACAAAGGAGAGCUACCAUAUCAUAAAUGACGAGUGCACGGUGUACAACCAGUCGAUGGAUCUGGAUGACAUCAUUUUAGGGGGUCGAUU